AUGGCAACCAAUCAAAAUUCAUGAAAGGGCCGAUUUGACUCAAUGUGGCCAGGGACAUUUUAUUUCAUUGGAGUGUACAAUGGCAAGAGAAGUUCAGAGACAACCUCUCCUACUUGAUGAACAGAAAUGGUCACUGCUUCCCCACCCACAUUCCCUGCUGUACAACUCUGUAUCCAUUUUAUUUGCAAGAGCUUGUCCUGAACUGACUUGCACCAACUGAGCAUAAAAGCUUUCUUUUAAAAAAUGUAAUGCAUAAUAUAAUUUUAAUCCAACAA